rnacentral:rRNA from 1 species
CGUGUAGGCGGGAAAGACAGUCGUAUGUGAAAUCUGUCGGCUCAACUGACAGCGUGCAUACGAAACUACUUACCUUGAGUACGGGAGAGGAGAGCGGAAUUCCUGGUGUAGCGGUGGAAUGCGUAGAUAUCAGGAAGAACACCGGAGGCGAAGGCGGCUCUCUGGCCCGAGACUGACGCUGAAGCGCGAAAGCUAGGGGAGCAAACA